CCUUUUCUUCCUCUCCCUUCCCUCUUUCGAGCGCCAUCUUCAUCGCCCUUGAUCGCCCUUUUUGAAGCUCGUAUACAGAUCGUUCAUUCAGAAGCUCAUAUGCAGAUUUCAUGCUAAGGAAUAUAAUCCUAUUUGUUACAAGUCCACUUCUCCUGCUGCAUUUUAAGAACCUGCUGAAUUAGGUCGUAUCCAAUGGGCUCUAGGGAGUGGAUAACUCUACAUUACCCAGACCCACAAUUUGUAGAUGGUAUGAUGAGCUUUGUGAAGUUCGUAAAAGAACAUCUUCCUAGUAGAGAAUCCAUUCAUUGUCCAUGUACCAGAUGCAAAUGUCUACGUUUAC